CUGACCUGUGCCCACUGUCUGGCACUUCCUAGUGAGAUGAACCCGGUACCUCAGAUUGAAAUGCAGAAAUCACCCGUCUUCUGCGUCGCUCACGCUGGGAGCUGUAGACCGGAGCUGUUCCUAUUCGGCCAUCUUGGCUCCUCUCCUAGGAUUGGCAAACACAAAUCAUGUUCCAAGUUCUGCCUUCCACCUGAGUGAAAUACAUCACCGCUUUCCCUGCUCCCGCCGCCAUUAAAAUUGUGUUUGGCAUCUGACCACCAAGAUACAGAUAUUUCCUAGACUGUUUUGCAGCUAGGUACUUAGAAUGGAAGCCUCUUUGAAGAAAGU
rnacentral:lncRNA from 1 species